rnacentral:rRNA from 1 species
CUACGGGAGGCAGCAGUGGGGAAUAUUGGACAAUGGGGGAAACCCUGAUCCAGCAAUGCCGCGUGUGUGAAGGAGGCCUGCGGGUUGCAAAGCACUUUCGGUUGGGAGGACUGCUUCUAGCACUAAUAUUGUUGGAAGUUGACGUUACCUUCAGAAGAAGCACCGGCUAACUCCGUGCCAGCAGCCGCGGUAAUACGGAGGGCGCAAGCGUUAAUCGGAAUUACUGGGCGUAAAGCGGGCGUAGGCGGCUAGAUCAGUCGGGUGUGAAAGCCCCGGGCUUAACCUGGGAACUGCAUCCGAUACUGUCUAGCUUGAGUACAGGAGAGGAGAGUGGAAUUCCACAUGUAGCGGUGAAAUGCGUAGAUAUGUGGAGGAACACCAAUGGCGAAGGCAGCCCUCUGGCCUGAUACUGACGCUGAGGUGCGAAAGCGUGGGGAGCAAACAGGAUUAGAUACCCGGGUAGUC